rnacentral:rRNA from 1 species
GCCUACGGGGGGCAGCAGUGAGGAAUAUUGGUCAAUGGGCGCGAGCCUGAACCAGCCAAGUCGCGUGAGGGAAGACGGUCCUAUGGAUUGUAAACCUCUUUUGUCAGGGAGCAAAGGGCGCCACGUGUGGCGCUUUGCGAGUACCUGAAGAAAAAGCAUCGGCUAACUCCGUGCCAGCAGCCGCGGUAAUACGGAGGAUGCGAGUGUUAUCCGGAUUUAUUGGGUUUAAAGGGUGCGCAGGCGGGAUGCCAAGUCAGCGGUCAAAUACGGGGGCUCAACCUGCGUCCGCCGUUGAAACUGGCGUU